rnacentral:rRNA from 1 species
AAUUGAAGAGUUUGAUCAUGGCUCAGAUUGAACGCUGGCGGCAGGCCUAACACAUGCAAGUCGAACGGUAACAGGAAGCAGCUUGCUGCUUCGCUGACGAGUGGCGGACGGGUGAGUAAUGUCUGGGAAACUGCCUGAUGGAGGGGGAUAACUACUGGAAACGGUGGCUAAUACCGCAUAACGUCGCAAGACCAAAGAGGGGGACCUUCGGGCCUCUUGCCAUCAGAUGUGCCCAGAUGGGAUUAGCUUGUUGGUGAGGUAACGGCUCACCAAGGCGACGAUCCCUAGCUGGUCUGAGAGGAUGACCAGCCACACUGGAACUGAGACACGGUCCAGACUCCUACGGGAGGCAGCAGUGGGGAAUAUUGCACAAUGGGCGCAAGCCUGAUGCAGCCAUGCCGCGUGUAUGAAGAAGGCCUUCGGGUUGUAAAGUACUUUCAGCGGGGAGGAAGGUGUUGUGGUUAAUAACCACAGCAAUUGACGUUACCCGCAGAAGAAGCACCGGCUAACUCCGUGCCAGCAGCCGCGGUAAUACGGAGGGUGCAAGCGUUAAUCGGAAUUACUGGGCGUAAAGCGCACGCAGGCGGUCUGUCAAGUCGGAUGUGAAAUCCCCGGGCUCAACCUGGGAACUGCAUUCGAAACUGGCA